UUUCUAACUGGUAAACCAUAAGUGAUAGAGACCUAGGGUCUUUUGAUUUAAGAUCCUUAGUCCAAAAAGAUGAAAAAUAGGUCAAUGUCAAAGGUCAAGGUCAUAUUCUAAAUUUUGAUGUUGGCUUGUUUUCACUUAUUUUUAUAAACCUUAUAAGAUUACGUCAAAUUAUUUUUACUGAAUUGUUAGAUCUACAUGUCGUUACAUGUAAAUUUUAGUUGAAAGGG
rnacentral:lncRNA from 1 species